rnacentral:rRNA from 1 species
AUUGAACGCUGGCGGCAGGCCUAACACAUGCAAGUCGAGCGGAUGAAGGGAGCUUGCUCCUGGAUUCAGCGGCGGACGGGUGAGUAAUGCCUAGGAAUCUGCCUGGUAGUGGGGGAUAACGUCCGGAAACGGGCGCUAAUACCGCAUACGUCCUGAGGGAGAAAGUGGGGGAUCUUCGGACCUCACGCUAUCAGAUGAUCCUAGGUCGGAUUAGCUAGUUGGUGGGGUAAAGGCCUACCAAGGCGACGAUCCGUAACUGGUCUGAGAGGAUGAUCAGUCACACUGGAACUGAGACACGGUCCAGACUCCUACGGGAGGCAGCAGUGGGGAAUAUUGGACAAUGGGCGAAAGCCUGAUCCAGCCAUGCCGCGUGUGUGAAGAAGGUCUUCGGAUUGUAAAGCACUUUAAGUUGGGAGGAAGGGCAGUAAGUUAAUACCUUGCUGUUUUAACGUUACCAACAGAAUAAGCACCGGCUAACUUCGUG